UUGUGGAGGAGGACGCCGAAGGUGGGGCUGAUGACUGGGGUGAAGUCGUAACAAGGUAGCCGUACCGGAAGGUGCGGCUGGAUCACCUCCUAACAGGGAGACAAACAAUUGAUCGUGAUGUCUGAGUUUUUAGUACUUAGGCCAUGAUCCUGUCACCUUAGGUCGAUCGGUACCUCAGUUAAAUUCAAAAUAAAUUCUAUUUUGGCUUUGAAUCAGUUCCUAAACUUGUCUAGGUCACACCCAACAAGGGUACCCCUGGGCCAUUAGCUCAGGUGGUUAGAGCGCACCCCUGAUAAGGGUGAGGUCCCUGGUUCAAGUCCAGGAUGGCCCAUUCGGUGUUGGGGGUAUAGCUCAGUUGGUAGAGCGCCUGCUUUGCAAGCAGGAUGUCAGCGGUUCGAGUCCGCUUACCUCCACUGAUCGAUCUCCUUAUAACGAAGGCAGAGGGGAAUUUUGUUGAUUGUGAUUUAGGCUUAGUUAUUCUCAUUGAACCUAGCUUCCUAUCAUUCCUAAUCUGUAUAGAUUAAGGUUGGAAGGACGCUGGGCUCACUACAUUUUUUAAUGUAGAAAGAGUUCAGUAGAACCUUGACAACUGCAUAGAUAAGUCUGGAAAAAAUAAAGCAUCUCAUGGAUGCAUUGUUUUUUAGCCCUUUUGGAAACUUUUUCAGAAGGAAAAUCUAAAUUUCAAUGUAAAUUCUUGAGCAAGAGUUGAGGCUCUAUAAAUUUUUUAUUUAUAGAGAUUUAAUGGUCAAGCUACAA
rnacentral:misc_RNA from 1 species